GAUGAACGCUAGCUGGAGGCUUAAUACAUGCAAGUCGAGCGGGAUUGGGUAGCAAUACCCAUGAGAGCGGCGCACGGGUGAGUAACGCGUACACGACCUACCUCUAACAGGGGGAUAGCCCUGGGAAACUGGGAUUAAUACCGCGUAUUAUUCUGAAUAAUAAAGGUUUGGAAUGAAAGCUGAGGCGGUUAGAGAUGGGUGUGCGUCUGAUUAGCUAGGUGGUAGGGUAACGGCCUACCAAGGCGAUGAUCAGUAGGGGGCGUGAGAGCGUGGUCCGCCACACGGGUACUGAGACACGGACCCGACUCCUACGGGAGGCAGCAGUAAGGAAUAUUGGUCAAUGGGCGAAAGCCUGAACCAGCCAUCCAGCGUGCGGGAAGAAGGCCCUAUGGGUUGUAAACUGCUUUUAUCAGGGAAGAAACCUCUGGAUUUACUCCGGAGCUGACGGUACCUGAAGAAUAAGCACCGGCUAACUCCGUGCCAGCCGCCGCGGUAACAC
rnacentral:rRNA from 1 species